rnacentral:rRNA from 1 species
AGCGAACGCUGGCGGCAGGCUUAACACAUGCAAGUCGAGCGGGCAUCCUUGUGGUGUCAGCGGCGGACGGGUGAGUAACGCGUGGGAACGUGCCUUCUGGUUCGGAAUAACUCAGGGAAACUUGAGCUAAUACCGGAUACGCCCUUUUGGGGAAAGGUUUACUGCCGGAAGAUCGGCCCGCGUCUGAUUAGCUAGUUGGUGGGGUAACGGCCUACCAAGGCGACGAUCAGUAGCUGGUCUGAGAGGAUGAUCAGCCACACUGGGACUGAGACACGGCCCAGACUCCUACGGGAGGCAGCAGUGGGGAAUAUUGGACAAUGGGCGCAAGCCUGAUCCAGCCAUGCCGCGUGAGUGAUGAAGGCCUUAGGGUUGUAAAGCUCUUUUAUCCGGGACGAUAAUGACGGUACCGGAGGAAUAAGCCCCGGCUAACUUCGUGCCAGCAGCCGCGGUAAAAC